GUGGGCGUAGCUCAGUGGUAGAGCACCGGGUUGUGGCCUCGGUGGCCGCGGGUUCAAACCCCGUCGCCCACCCCA
rnacentral:tRNA from 1 species